rnacentral:rRNA from 1 species
AGCCUGGGAAACUGGGUCUAAUACUGGAUACUACCUCUUGCCGCAUGGUGGGUGGUGGAAAGGGUUUUACUGGUUUUGGAUGGGCUCACGGCCUAUCAGCUUGUUGGUGGGGUAAUGGCUCACCAAGGCGACGACGGGUAGCCGGCCUGAGAGGGUGACCGGCCACACUGGGACUGAGACACGGCCCAGACUCCUACGGGAGGCAGCAGUGGGGAAUAUUGCACAAUGGGCGGAAGCCUGAUGCAGCGACGCCGCGUGAGGGAUGACGGCCUUCGGGUUGUAAACCUCUUUCAGUAGGGAAGAAGCGAGAGUGACGGUACCUGCAGAAGAAGCGCCGGCUAACUACGUGCCAGCAGCCGCGGUAAUACGUAGGGCGCAAGCGUUGUCCGGAAUUAUUGGGCGUAAAGAGCUCGUAGGCGGUUUGUCGCGUCUGCUGUGAAAGCCCGGGGCUCAACCCCGGGUCUGCAGUGGGUACGGGCAGACUAGAGUGCAGUAGGGGAGACUGGAAUUCCUGGUGUAGCGGUGAAAUGCGCAGAUAUCAGGAGGAACACCGAUGGCGAAGGCAGGUCUCUGGGCUGUUACUGACGCUGAGGAGCGAAAGCAUGGGGAGCGAACAGGAUUAGAUACCCUGGUAGUCCAUGCCGUAAACGUUGGGCACUAGGGUGUGGGGGA